rnacentral:rRNA from 1 species
AGUGAACGCUGGCGGCGUGCUUAACACAUGCAAGUCGAACGGAUGAAAUAAGCUUGCUUAUUUCGUUAGUGGCGCACGGGUGAGUAAUGUAUAGCUAACCUGCCCUUUAGUGGGGGGCAACAGAUGGAAACGUCUGCUAAUACCCCAUACUCCUGCGUAUCAUAAGAUAUGUUGGGAAAGAUUUAUUGCUAAAGGAUGGGGCUUUAUGGUAUCAGCUAGUUGGUGGGGUAACGGCCUACCAAGGCAAUGACGCCUACCUGGUCUGAGAGGAUGAUCAGGCACACUGGAACUGAGACACGGUCCAGACUCCUACGGGAGGCAGCAGUGGGGAAUAUUGCACAAUGGGGGAAACCCUGAUGCAGCAACGCCGCGUGGAGGAUGACGCAUUUCGGUGUGUAAACUCCUUUUAUAAGGGAAGAUAAUGACGGUACCUUAUGAAUAAGCACCGGCUAACUCCGUGCCAGCAGCCGCGGUAAUACGGAGGGUGCAAGCGUUACU